rnacentral:rRNA from 1 species
AGUGAACGCUGGCGGUAGGCCUAACACAUGCAAGUCGAACGGCAGCACAGUAAGAGCUUGCUCUUACGGGUGGCGAGUGGCGGACGGGUGAGGAAUACAUCGGAAUCUACUUUUUCGUGGGGGAUAACGUAGGGAAACUUACGCUAAUACCGCAUAUGACCUACGGGUGAAAGCAGGGGAUCUUCGGACCUUGCGCGAUUGAAUGAGCCGAUGUCGGAUUAGCUAGUUGGCGGGGUAAAGGCCCACCAAGGCGACGAUCCGUAGCUGGUCUGAGAGGAUGAUCAGCCACACUGGAACUGAGACACGGUCCAGACUCCUACGGGAGGCAGCAGUGGGGAAUAUUGGACAAUGGGCGCAAGCCUGAUCCAACCAUACCGCGUGGGUGAAGAAGGCCUUCGGGUUGUAAAGCCCUUUUGUUGGGAAAGAAAAGCAGCAGGUUAAUACCCCGCUGUUCUGACGGUACCCAAAGAAUAAGCACCGGCUAACUUCGUG